rnacentral:rRNA from 1 species
AGUCGAGGGGCAGCAUUCCAGUUUGCUUGCAAACUGGAGAUGGCGACCGGCGCACGGGUGAGUAACACGUAUCCAACCUGCCGAUAACUCGGGGAUAGCCUUUCGAAAGAAAGAUUAAUACCCGAUGGCAUAAUAGAACCGCAUGGUUUGAUUAUUAAAGAAUUUCGGUUAUCGAUGGGGAUGCGUUCCAUUAGGCAGUUGGUGGGGUAACGGCCCACCAAACCUUCGAUGGAUAGGGGUUCUGAGAGGAAGGUCCCCCACAUUGGAACUGAGACACGGUCCAAACUCCUACGGGAGGCAGCAGUGAGGAAUAUUGGUCAAUGGACGAGAGUCUGAACCAGCCAAGUAGCGUGAAGGAUGACUGCCCUAUGGGUUGUAAACUUCUUUUAUAUGGGAAUAAAGUGGUCCACGUGUGGAUUUUUGUAUGUACCAUAUGAAUAAGGAUCGGCUAACUCCGUGCCAGCAGCCGCGGUAAUACGGAGGAUCCGAGCGUUAUCCGGAUUUAUUGGGUUUAAAGGGAGCGUAGGUGGACAGUUAAGUCAGUUGUGAAAGUUUGCGGCUCA